rnacentral:lncRNA from 1 species
CUCAAUUAUGUCUAAAGUAGAUAACAAAUGACCUCAGUAAAUACAUAUAUGAGGUGCUAGCUGGAAUAUGGAUGUUGAAGAAUUAUAAAGAACAACACCACAAUAAACAAGUUGUUUAGCCUGGAAAAGUGAUGACAGAGGACUUGGUAGAAAUAAAGCAUGACAAAGAAGCUAAGCAGGACACUGAGAUUUAACUGAAUUUAAGGUACUUGCAUGGACUUACUUCCACAUGGGAGUAGAAUCAGAAGACAACCAUGCUUUGCCAUGAUAUCUGAAGAAAUUACCACUAACUCUGCCCAGCUCCUCUCUGCCACCUUUUUACUGGAGACUGCUGCUCAUUCAGAUCUGGUGAUGCAUCCUGUAUACCAGAUGUAGAGAAGCCGGUCUAUCCAGCCUAGAGUGAAUACAUCCUUUCAUUUACUCCCCUUCCUUAAAUGUGGAGCCCAUUUUGAAGUAAAGGGAGGGAAAAUGCUGUGAUUCAUACAGUAUCAAUAUUUACAUCUAUGAGUCCACAGAUUUGUUAAACUGUUUAGAAAUCUCAAAGAGACUAAGCAUUCAUUUUCUGUAAAGGAAAAAAUGAGCAAUCUAUUUUGCCAGGACCUUCUGUGCUGAAAAUAUUCUGGUCCUUCUCAUAAAUACUUUUGUGACAGACCAGUGAGGCUUGCUCUAAAAUGUCAACCAUCAAGAGGCUGCUAGCUUAAUCCUCUUCAUCUGAGAAACUAUAGAGGUAUCCUGGUAUACAUUAUAUCUGGAAACAAGUAUUGGCCAAUAAUUGACUUCUGGGAUGUUUGUUUACCUCUUUCUUGGACCGUAUGUCCUUGAUUGCAAAUAUAAAUUCUUCAAAAAUUAAUUACAUGGUUAAGUAGGUGAGAUAUUAAUUUUUUUAAAAAAUAUGUGGGAGACCAAAUUUAGCCGUUACAGAAUUAUUGCUGCUCACCUGGAGCACAACAGUGCCAAAGGAGAAAUCUCAAAGACGAAAUCACAAAGUUACACCAGUGUAAAUGAGCUUGGGACAUGGAUUAACAUGUGUAGCUGAGGGCAGGAUGUGUUGAUGCUGCAUGUUGAGGCUGUCUGGGUUCUCUACUGUCACUUAACUCUUGUAUACUGGCAGAGGGGAGAGCUAAAUGGUGGACUUAAUACCACUCACACUAUUCACCAAUA